rnacentral:rRNA from 1 species
AGGACGAACGCUGGCGGCGUGCUUAACACAUGCAAGUGGAGCGACGAACCAGGGCUUGCCCUGGGGCUAAGCCGCGAACGGGUGAGUAACACGUGGGUAACCUGCCCCGAUUACUGGGACAACUCGAGGAAACUCGAGCUAAUACCGGAUGUGCCCACCCCACAUCAGUGGGGUGUGUAAAGGAAGCUUCGGCCUCCGAAUCGGGAUGGGCUCGCGGCUUAUCAGCUAGUUGGUGAGGUAACGGCUCACCAAGGCUUCGACGGGUA